AUGUGUCGUCACAAAGUCGAGCCCGAAGAUUAGGUCAUGAGCGCAACUGGGCAGGACGGUGAACAGGACUGGAACUUGGCGUCCAGCAAUUCCUAUGCGAGCAAUGCGAAUUCACC
rnacentral:lncRNA from 1 species